rnacentral:rRNA from 1 species
AGUGAACGCUGGCGGUAGACCUAACACAUGCAAGUCGAACGGCAGCACAGUAAGAGCUUGCUCUUACGGGUGGCGAGUGGCGGACGGGUGAGGAAUACAUCGGAAUCUACUUUUUCGUGGGGGAUAACGUAGGGAAACUUACGCUAAUACCGCAUACGACCUACGGGUGAAAGCAGGGGAUCUUCGGACCUUGCGCGAUUGAAUGAGCCGAUGUCGGAUUAGCUAGUUGGCGGGGUAAAGGCCCACCAAGGCGACGAUCCGUAGCUGGUCUGAGAGGAUGAUAAGCCACACUGGAACGGAGACAAGGUCCAGACUCCUACGGGAGGCAGCAGUGGGGAAUAUUGGACAAUGGGCGCAAGCCUGAUCCAGCCAUACCGCGUGGGUGAAGAAGGCCUUCGGGUUGUAAAGCCCUUUUGUUGGGAAAGAAAAGCAGCAGGUUAAUACCCCGCUGUUCUGACGGUACCCAAAGAAUAAGCACCGGAUAACUUCGUG